UUUAAAAAACUAUUGAGGAUUGUUUUGUACUGUACAGUAACCAGACCAGUGGUGGGUUUCUACCAGUUCGGGCGAACCAGUAGUGGUGGUGGCGGGAGGCUCCGCCCACCCGCCCAGACAUCAUCACGGACGCUCUGUGCAGAAGCCUUGCAUGCAAGCAAAGCAAGCGCAUGCGCAUGCGCAUGCACACUCCUGAUUCCAAACCGGUAGUGAAGGUUCCUGCUGAUUUAUGUUGCCCUUCUCUGUAGCUGUUCCAGUUUGUCUGAGUCUCUCAAAUUGUGGCACCCAAAAGCACAGUGCUUGAAGAAUAGGGUUCUGCUCAAUGCAGCAUAC